AAGGUCUCGUUGGUGACCAGCGGAGGGUCAUUACCGAGUUUACAACUCCCAAACCCAAUGUGAACCAUACCAAACUGUUGCCUCGGCGGGGUCACGCCCCGGGUGCGUCGCAGCCCCGGAACCAGGCGCCCGCCGGAGGGACCAACCAAACUCUUUACUGUAGUCCCCUCGCGGACGUUAUUUCUUACAGCUCUGAGCAAAAAUUCAAAAUGAAUCAAAACUUUCAACAACGGAUCUCUUGGUUCUGGCAUCGAUGAAGAACGCAGCGAAAUGCGAUAAGUAAUGUGAAUUGCAGAAUUCAGUGAAUCAUCGAAUCUUUGAACGCACAUUGCGCCCGCCAGUAUUCUGGCGGGCAUGCCUGUCCGAGCGUCAUUUCAACCCUCGAACCCCUCCGGGGGGUCGGCGUUGGGGAUCGGGAACCCCUCAGACGGGAUCCCGGCCCCGAAAUACAGUGGCGGUCUCGCCGCAGCCUCUCCUGCGCAGUAGUUUGCACAACUCGCACCGGGAGCGCGGCGCGUCCACGUCCGUAAAACACCCAACUUUCUGAAAUGUUGACCUCGGAUCAGGUAGGAAUACCCGCUGAACUUAAGCAUAUCAAUAAGCGGAGGA
rnacentral:rRNA from 1 species